GGCCUCAAAUCAGGUAGGACUACCCGCUGAACUUAAGCAUAUCAAUAAGCGGAGGAAAAGAAACUAACAAGGAUUCCCCUAGUAACGGCGAGUGAAGCGGGAAGAGCUCAAAUUUGAAAUCUGGUGGACUUUGUUCAUCCGAGUUGUAAUCUAGAGAAGUGUUUUCCGUGCUGGCCAAUGUACAAGUCCCUUGGAACAGGGCGUCAUAGAGGGUGAGAAUCCCGUACUUGACAUUGAUCACCGGUGCUCUGUGAUACACUUUCAAAGAGUCGAGUUGUUUGGGAUGCAGCUCAAAAUGGGUGGUAAAUUCCAUCUAAAGCUAAAUAUUGGCGAGAGACCGAUAGCGAACAAAUACCGUGAGGGGAAAGAUGAAAAGCA
rnacentral:rRNA from 1 species